rnacentral:lncRNA from 1 species
GCAGGGAAAAAAACAUUUUAUUUCCAAGCAGAUUACAAAGAGCAGAGAAUAUAAGAGUAAAAUUAAAUUAAAAAAAUAGUUGAGUGCAUCUCUUUAAAAUGAUUUGUAGUGUGAGUUACUCACGGGGCAAAGCUACUGGAGAGUUCUGAAGGUCACUUUGCAGGAUGCCAAUCACAUGUGCUGUUUAGACCAGGGUCAACACAGGAGGGACAGACAAGACGUAUUUUGCAUAUAGGCUGCACACUCAUGAUCAAGCGAGGCUCUGGGCUGCAACUGGACCCUGCCUGUCCCAGACAUCCCCUCCACCUCGAGGUCCCUCAAGUUCUAGGCGCGGUUUAUUGCUGCUGUAAGUAGGGUCAAACCUGCCUCCCCAUUCUGAUGGGCUCAAAGGAGAACGGACAGGGAGGCAAACGUGGCUGCCAUGCAUGAGGUUAUACAGGGAAAGGGACUGCAGUGCUGAGAGCCAGGCUUCAGCCACACAAGGAAGGGAAGCAACAAGUAGGGGACAGGGCAAGUGCUUCAGGGGUGUUGGAGCAGUGUGUCAGUGAGACUGCUGGAAGAUGCAAGAUGCUCCUUAAGGUAGGAAGAUGCUCGAGCUGCGAGGGCUCUUCCCUAAGCAUUGGCACCAUGAAACAGAACGUGCUGAAGCAUCAGGAUAAGGUACGCUCCCCAUAAUAGUUGAGAGGAGCAGCUGCAGCAAGAAGAUGGGGAGAAAAGCACCGUGUAGGGUGGAAGACAGUUUAUAUCCCACUUUAACAGUGAUUUAAGAGACCAAAUGCUAACUGCAAGUAAGUCACUAUUAAACUUGAAUGAGAACGCAGGUUGGUUGGACUGCCAGAGUUGAUCUGUGUACAGCUGCACUCAGACCAGCAAGAGGACGAUCAACUACAGCAUCAGCAAGUCCUCCACCCCAUGAAUGCUCAGAGGGCUCUUUCCUGCCCCGGCUGGAUCUGUUCUUAUCGCAGCACAGGAGGUGUGAAGAUGGAGCAAUCCCUUCUGUGUGCGCCAAGGCAGACCACAGCCCUGAUGCAGCUGAGAACACGACUGUCCUUAACUUCUGCCCUAGGAGCAGCAGCACAGAAGAGGAUUCCUUUUCAGGGAUCAGAUUUCAGUCUUUUUUCAUUGACCCAAGUAGUUCAGGAACUACUUCAGACCUUGUAUCCCAUCUAACAUGCGGAUCUCUAGGGUGAGGCAGCCAACAGAUGAGAGCCCUAUGAAGUUAUUUAGACCAUUCCCUUCACUCACAACCCUAGAUCAGCGCACAAAGCCGCUCUCUAGUCUGCUCUCUGCUGCUUCAGCCAUUUCCACUUGAACUGAACAAACAUCUAGUGGUGCCAUGAACAAGUGUGGAAGCAGCUAUGAGUUCUCUUAGGAAAGCAAGGCUGCUAGUGCCAAGAGAUCAGACAGCACACGAGCCUCACGUCCGCAGGUGAGGUGCUUUACAAUAGCCAGUCGCGCUCCGCUUCCUAUGGUUCCUUUCACACCACAGGGACAAGGUGGGCACAGACCAACACCAACAAGGCAGGGUCUCUAGCCUGACUUCUCAGCUUUAGUUAUGCAGAGAUCAUUUUCAGCCUGUCUCAUACAAGGCGGAGGGCGCAGAGUUCCUGUUUAAUACAUACACGUACAGGAGCUAGCGGUUUGGCACUCUGGGAGCUGAGGGGAAUGCCCUUAAAGCAGCAGUCAAGCUGGUUAUAGGAAAGUGUUAAAAAGCUAUUUUACACGUUUGACUGGGAACACAUCCCAGAAGUUGGAUAGCAACCCUAAGCCACAGCACGCUCCUGUGCUACUCUGGGCACGUCUUCCUAUGAGCCCCUACAAGGGAGCAGAUCAUGUUCUUCGCUAUCAAAGAACAUAGUAUUUAUAUUCUAGAAAUACUGUACCUUUGAAACCAGCUCCAGAGAGCCAGCCUAGAAGCCAGGUCCAGGAAAACAAUCCUUAAGUCACAGUAUAUCGAUUGUCUCUAAAAAUAGGGAAUGAAGUGAACACGGUGGACGUUCUGAUGAGACAGUACAGCAGUCCACUUCCACAUCAGCAAAUCCCUUUCCUAUGUAUGGCUGGACAAUGAGAAAUGGAAACACUUCGGUCCUUCAGGACAAAACCAACCCUCAGAUCUCCAGAGCUCACCACGUGCCAAGUUCUUACGUGGUACACUGCAAGAUCAAGGAGAACUCUUCCCCUGCCAAGACUGUGGAUCAUCCUGCAGUUCAGGGCAGUGAGGGAAGUGCACAAUCUAGAAUUUCAAGGGAACAUGGAAUUCUGUUUCCCCAGAAAGCUCAGCUGAGGCAUCAGUUCAGCCCUAACCUGCAACUGCCCUAAUGUUCUGUCAAGUGAAUCCAGCUUCUGGCAAUUUUUAGAGUAAGAGGCGACUCCCAAGGGCACCUAAUGAAGCAACUUGUACACUGGGCAUAUGGCAGAUGACUUCAACACCAUUUCUCAUGGAAACAGUGCAGCAUGCUCACACUGAGCUGUGGGGAUGCUGGAGCUAGCUCCCCAUGCAGUGCUGCCCAGCACGCACUGAGCACAGCUGCCUGCAGUUCCUCUCACACCUUUGCAACUCUGUUCAGAAGACAAACUGCCCAAAAGAAUGAGAAAUCCACUCUGGGCAGGCCUGUUGGGCAUCCCAAGCAACAAGCACACCCAGCUGCUUGGAACUUGCCCCUAACCAUGUCCUUAAAUACUUAAACUAGGGCUAGAGAUGGACACUGCAGUCGCUAAGAUACAGUGAAGGGAUUAGAGGCUUCUGACAGCUGAAGCAGCACCAGCAAUCCCAACAGCCACCCCGACAGGGAGCAACUGCUGGCUCCCAGCGGCUGGACUGAGCUCAUACGAGCUCCCAGCACUACACACACCCAGGCACCAGCUUCCCAACUCACCCACUGGGAUCUGGGCACCAGCUCCAGGCUGGUUUUCCCCUGGCAUAACUCUGAGAGCAGACACUGAGCUACGAGCCUACUUCACAGCCCAGGUCCUAGGGAACAACAGCGCAUUGCCACUCCACCUCUCUGCACCUAUUUGAGCACGGAGUCCUGUUCAGGGAACAAACUGACAACCAACUCAAGCACAGCUGCUUCCUCAUGAACACCAACAUCAAUACGAAGCAUCAGAAGCUCAAGUCUCUCUCAGCCUGCACACCUCAAGCCUGCUCAAGAGCACAAAGACAGGGAACACUGUGGCUACUCUCAGCAUUGACACUGACAGAGGGGGCAGACCUUCCUUCUCAAUACAGGUGCUGGCCAACAGAAGCUUCAGAAAAAUCGCUUGCCUGUACACAAGUUUAAGUCCUUUUACUGUAAGAUAUAUUUAAAUAUGCAUCUAUAUAUUUUGGAACAGGGAAAGGACAUUGGAUGGAGAAGCAGGGAAGACAAGUUCAAGAAGCAGAGUCAUCUCUCCGCAUCCAAGAAGCUGGUGGCACAAACAAGCCUGGCUGGAGUGAUCUCCCAUUUCAAGCACGGUUGGCUACCCGCUGGCUUCGAAAGAGCAGACUAUUUGUUAAUGGUAUAAAAUACAGCAACCAUUUAAGAUGCAGCAAGGCAAGGCUAAAGGGCUGGGGGUUAUGAUCAUGGACGAUGCCAGAAGCUACACAGCUGCGUUAAAAACUGUGACAAGGCCUGUUAAACAGCAGGAGUAAGCCAUGUGCUGCUCCUGGAAGGCCUUUUCCCUCCAACACCCCUCCAUCAUGCUGUUGGUGUGACGUGUUUGUGAAGCUGAGGAGAGGGGGAUUUGCCUAAGGGUGAAGCCUCACAGGCUGGCCACAGAACAUUAGGACAGUCUGAGCUGGUCUCACAGAUCCCACGUUCCUAGCCUGACACUGAGCUUCCAUCAGCAAGCAGACAUUCAGGUCCUUCAGCAGAAGUUUAAUCUCCUUCUACCUUCCUAAUUUAGGUGAAAAGUCCAGCGGAGUCGAGCUGGAAAGCACAAACAGGGAUGAAAACAACCAGUUUGCAUACUGACCUUUGUGUAAUGACCCCC